rnacentral:tRNA from 1 species
GUGGUUGUAGCUCAGUUGGUUAGAGCGCCUGGUUGUGGCCCAGGAGGUCGGGGGUUCAAUUCCCCUCAUCCACCCCA